GCCAGGUGUGGAGGCACAUGCCUGUAAUCCCUGCUUCCAGCAAGGUGGUGGUGGAUAGCCUGGGCUUAGGAGUUCCAACCUGCAUUGGGUUAAGCCAAUUGGGUGUCCACAUUAAGUAUGGCACCAGUAUGGUGAACUCUACUGGGCUGGAGGCCAUCAGGCUUCCUAAGGAGGAGCAAACAAGCCCAAGAUGUAAAGGAGUAGGUCAAAACUCCCAUGUGGAGCAGUAGUGGGACUGGGUAUAUAAUGGACACUGUACUUCCAGUCUGAACAACGUAGGGAGACCCAGU
rnacentral:SRP_RNA from 1 species